rnacentral:tRNA from 1 species
GCCCACCUAGCUCAGUUAGCACAAGGUUCUUAACCUUGUGGUUGUGAGUUCAAGCCCCAUAAUGGGUG